rnacentral:rRNA from 1 species
UUUGAAAUCUGGCUCUUUCCGAGUCCGAGUUGUAAUUUGCAGAGGGCGCUUUGGCUUUGGCAGCGGUCCAAGUUCCUUGGAACAGGACGUCACAGAGGGUGAGAAUCCCGUACGUGGUCGCUAGCUAUUGCCGUGUAAAGCCCCUUCGACGAGUCGAGUUGUUUGGGAAUGCAGCUCUAAAUGGGAGGUAAAUUUCUUCUAAAGCUAAAUAUUGGCCAGAGACCGAUAGCGCACAAGUAGAGUGAUCGAAAGAUGAAAAGCACUUUGGAAAGAGAGUCAAACAGCACGUGAAAUUGUUGAAAGGGAAGCGCUUGCAGCCAGACUUGCUUGCAGUUGCUCAUCCGGGCUUUUGCCCGGUGCACUCUUCUGCAGGCAGGCCAGCAUCAGUUUGGGCGGUGGGAUAAAGGUCUCUGUCACGUACCUUCCUUCGGGUUGGCCUUAUAGGGGAGACGCCUUACCACCAGCCUGGACUGAGGUCCGCGCAUCUGCUAGGAUGCUGGCGUAAUGGCUGUAAGCGGCCCGUCUUGAAACACGGACCAAGGAGUCUAACAUCUAUGCGAGUGUUUGGGUGUCAAGCCCGAGCGCGUAAUGAAAGUGAACGGAGGUGGGAACCCGCAAGGGUGCACCAUCGACCGAUCCUGAAGUUUACGGAAGGAUUUGAGUAAGAGCAUGGCUGUUGGGACCCGAAAGAUGGUGAACUAUGCUUGAAUAGGGUGAAGCCAGAGGAAACUCUGGUGGAGGCUCGCAGCGGUUCUGACGUGCAAAUCGAUCGUCAAAUUUGGGCAUAGGGGCGAAAGACUAAUCGAACUAUCUAGUAGCUGGUUCCUG